rnacentral:rRNA from 1 species
UACGGGGGGGGGCAAGCGUUGUUCGGAAUUACUGGGCGUAAAGGGCGCGUAGGCGGUUCGCUAAGUUGGAUGUGAAAACUCUGGGCUCAACCCAGAGCCUGCAUCCAAAACUGGCGGGCUAGAGUUCUGGAGGGGAUAGCGGAAUUCCUGGUGUAGCGGUGAAAUGCGCAGAUAUCAGGAGGAACACCGGUGGCGAAGGCGGGUCUCUGGGCAGUAACUGACGCUGAGGAGCGAAAGCGUGGGGAGCAAACAGG